ACCAGACUCCUACGGGAGGCAGCAGUGGGGAAUAUUGCACAAUGGGGGAAACCCUGAUGCAGCGACGCCGCGUGAGCGAAGAAGUACCUCGGUAUGUAAAGCUCUAUCAGCAGGGAAGAAGAUGACGGUACCUGACCAAGAAGCUCCGGCUAAAUACGUGCCAGCAGCCGCGGUAAUACGUAGGGGGCGAGCGUUAUCCGGAAUUACUGGGUGUAAAGGGAGCGUAGACGGCGAGGUAAGCCUGAAGUGGAAGCCCGCGGCCCAACCGCGGAACUGCUUUGGGAACUGUUUUGCUGGAGUAUGGGAGGGGUAAGCGGAAUUCCUGGUGUAGCGGUGAAAUGCGUAGAUAUCAGGAGGAACACCGGUGGCGAAGGCGGCUUACUGGACCAUAACUGACGUUGAGGCUCGAAAGCGUGGGGAGCGAACAGGAUUAGAUACCCGUGUAGA
rnacentral:rRNA from 1 species